rnacentral:rRNA from 1 species
UACGGAGGGUGCAAGCGUUAUCCGGAUUUACUGGGUUUAAAGGGUGCGCAGGCGGAUAUGUAAGUCAGUGGUGAAAAUCUCCGGGCUUAACCCGGAAACUGCCGUUGAUACUAUAUAUCUUGAAUGCUGUGGAGGUAAGCAGAAUAUGUCAUGUAGCGGUGAAAAUGCUUAGAGGAUGACAUAGAAUACCUAUUGCGAAGGCAGCUUACUACGCAGAUAUUGACGCUCAUGCACGAAAGCGUGGGGAUCAAACAGGA